AACAUAUAUUUCCGAUUGUCCAAACAAUACAUUCUUCCAAUGCUAGUAAGGGGCUUGUGACUUUGGCCGUUUGCUUUUAAUGUGAAAUCAGACAGGAAGUCAAAUGUACCUUCAGGUUCAACCUCAAUCGAGAAGAAGAUCCUUUUAUCUCUGUGAAACCGUCGAAUUUGAUGCAUAUUAAGGAUUUACCCGGAGCAAGUGGCGUGUUCAUUUGAAAUGCCACCAAGAAUCAGUCCCCUCACAGAUGCCUGUCACCAUGUCGGUUUAAAGACUGACAAAACAUGGAAACUGGAGGUGAAGUACAUCAAUGUAGUAAAAGGGCGUGGGGUGUUCGCCAUAGGUUCAUUCUCCAAAGGAGAUUUUAUAGUGGAAUACAGGGGAGAUUUGAUAAGCGAUGGUGAAGCUCAAAAGAGAAGAAGAAUUUAUAACCCUGCAUGUUCUGGAUUUUUGUUCGCGUUCAAGUUGGGAGGCAAAACAUGGUGGUAAGAUUUUAAAUUGCACCUUAACUAUACUACCUUGUACUGAAGUCGUUACACUUGCUUAAACAAAACUAAUCCAAUAAUUACUAAUCCGCCGCUGCCGUAGCCUGCUACCAACUACAGGAAAGUAUAAACGACGCUGCUGCUGAGACACAAGUCCCUCAAAAUGCAAUGCAAGGGUCGUUUUAUUUCUAACAUUAAUCUUUCAACACAGACAUUUAUAUGUGUGUAAGGGAUAAUGUAUAGAACGCCGGUCAUUAUCGGGCAAAGGGCGAACCGGACACCGACGCGAAAGCGGAGGUGUCUUGCUUUGCCGUGAAGGGGCUUAUUUUGCGAUAAUGACCUUAUUUUGCGACGUUCUAUACAUUAUCCCGCUUAUUACACGGCUACUUGCCAAAAUUAAAAAAUAACUUCACACGGUGUGUCUUUUUACAAUUUAUAUGUUACCAUUGACGCAUACGUUCCACUGAACAGCGCAGCUUAGGCGAUAUCUGAGUCAUUAUAUAUCUAUGGAAAUGUUCUGCCUGUCAUCCCCUGCAUUUGGGUCAACCUUCCGGAAUCCAUUGUGACGUUAACUUAUAUGCUUACUCAAUCAAUAACUCAUGUAAAACUGUGAUCUUGUAUGCUAGUAAAUGAUGUUUUAAUGAAAAGUAAUAAUAAUAUUUUUUCCAUUUUUCUCUAUUUUUAUUUGUGG